GCGACCCAGGGAGGGUGGCAGCUGACAACACACCAGCUGGGACUGUCCCCAUCCAGCCCUUCCUCCCGGAAGCUCGCUGAGGCCUUGGCCGUUGAGGGCACUGGCCAGCAGACGCUCCUGCUGGCAUGGCAGAGUGGACCGUGAACGCUGUCCUCUGUGGCUCACUGCCCACAUGGCUCCCGUGGCUCCGCAGAUGGCAGGGACCGCAGGCGCCCACCCGGCACUGCGGGACUCGGGGGGCGCCCAGAAGGACGGCAUCCGGGGAGCCCCUGACCCUGCAGCUAGGGGCUGAUGAUGGGGAGCCGCAGCGAGCAAGUCACCCCACGAACGUUUGUUCCCUUCCUUCCCUGCACCCCCCCAUUCCAUCAUCCAACCUCCCUCCUGGGCCAUGUCUUAAAAUGAGAGGUUGAGCAUGUGUCCAUUGUAGAAAUGUUAGAGACUAUGGAAGCCCAGAGAUAAAAAUGGAAAGUAAAAGUUACCUACAAUCCUGGCACCCAGAAAGAGCAUUCAUAAAGGGUUGAUUUUAUAAGCAAAUCUUAACAUGUAUUAUAUCACGAGCCUUUUCAUGUCAUUAAUUUUUCUAAAAUUUGAAUCUUAGUGGCUGUCUAGGGCUCCAUUUAUCCCACCAAUCCCCUAUUGUUGGACAUUUAUGUCUUUUCCAAAUUUUCACCAUCAUAAAAAAUGCUGCAGUGAACAUCCUAGGAGAUAAAUCUUUGUGACUAGCUCUGAUUAAUUCAUUAAGAUAAGUUCCUGUAAAAACAAUGUGUCAGGUGGGAUGAGUAUUUUUAAAGCUAUUCGGACGCUUCACCCAGGGACACUCUGGGGAAGUCAGGUCACCGAGAACCCGGAUGGAAGUAUCCCUCGAGCCCGACCAGCACUGAGUGUCCACUCCCUCUCCGAUCUGAUAGACCAAAAACAAUUUCAGUGUUUUGUUUUCACUUCAUCGUCAUCAAAAUUGGACUUUUGAAAAAUACACGCUUAUUUAUAUUUUGUGUUUUAGAAAAUUUCUAUUUGUAUCCACCAGAAGAUUAAUUUUCCAUAAAAAUUGAAUCUGUAGGAGUUAUAUUCGUAAGAAAAAAACCCUUGAGUCCCCCUUUUUUUUUUUUUUCCUUUUUUCUCCCUUAGUUUUGUGUUUCUGGCCUCAGUCUUUGUCUGCAAAGUGAAUUGCUUGGACCAAAUAACCUCUUGACCCCCAAGGUCAUGUCGCAGAGCUCGGACCGUCCUCUCUAUUGUCACCCUCCCCUUCUUAGCAGCGAGGUCUGCGAACUCCUUAGCAUGGGGGGCGGGGGGGCACGGAACGUGAGUUUCCCGUGUCUGCCUGGGUGAGCGUCACACUUGAAUAAUCCAGGUAAGUCUCUAAGUACUGAGGCCCCCGGGUUGGGAGAGGAAGCCAGCCCCCCUUCCCCAGGC
rnacentral:lncRNA from 1 species